rnacentral:rRNA from 1 species
UGGGGGAUAUUGGACAAUGGGGGAAACCCUGAUCCAGCGACGCCGCGUGAGUGAAGAAGUAUUUCGGUAUGUAAAGCUCUAUCAGCAGGGAAGAAAAUGACGGUACCUGACUAAGAAGCCCCGGCUAACUACGUGCCAGCAGCCGCGGUAAUACGUAGGGGGCAAGCGUUAUCCGGAUUUACUGGGUGUAAAGGGAGCGUAGACGGCGGAACAAGUCAGAAGUGAAAACCCGGGGCUCAACCCUGGGAGUGCUUUUGAAACUGUUUGGCUGGAGUGCAGGAGAGGUAAGCGGAAUUCCUAGUGUAGCGGUGAAAUGCGUAGAUAUUAGGAGGAACACCAGUGGCGAAGGCGGCUUACUGGACUGUAACUGACGUUGAGGCUCGAAAGCGUGGGGAGCAAACAGG